AGUGAACGCUGGCGGUAGGCCUAACACAUGCAAGUCGAACGGCAGCACAGUAAGAGCUUGCUCUUACGGGUGGCGAGUGGCGGACGGGUGAGGAAUACAUCGGAAUCUGCUUUUUCGUGGGGGAUAACGUAGGGAAACUUACGCUAAUACCGCAUACGACCUACGGGUGAAAGCAGGGGAUCUUCGGACCUUGCGCGAUUGAAUGAGCCGAUGUCGGAUUAGCUAGUUGGCGGGGUAAAGGCCCACCAAGGCGACGAUCCGUAGCUGGUCUGAGAGGAUGAUCAGCCACACUGGAACUGAGACACGGUCCAGACUCCUACGGGAGGCAGCAGUGGGGAAUAUUGGACAAUGGGCGCAAGCCUGAUCCAGCCAUACCGCGUGGGUGAAGAAGGCCUUCGGGUUGUAAAGCCCUUUUGUUGGGAAAGAAAAGCAGCAGGUUAAUACCCCGCUGUUCUGACGGUACCCAAAGAAUAAGCACCGGCUAACUUCGU
rnacentral:rRNA from 1 species